rnacentral:rRNA from 1 species
CCUACGAGAGGCAGCAGUGGGGAAUAUUGGGCAAUGGGCGCAAGCCUGACCCAGCAACGCCGCGCGAAGGAAGAAGGCUUUCGGGUUGUAAACUUCUUUUGACAGGGAAGAGUAGAAGACGGUACAUGUCGAAUAAGCCACGGCUAACUACGUGCCAGGAGCCGGGGAAAUAAGUAGGUGGCAAGCGUUGUCCGGAUUUACUGGGUGUAAAGGGCGUGUAGCCGGGUUGACAAGUCAGAUGUGAAAGCCUGCGGCUUAACCGCCGAACUGCAUUUGAAAGUGUUGAUCUUGAGUACUGGAGAGGCAGACGGAAUUCCUGGUGUAGCGGUGAAAUGCGUAGAUAUUAGGAGGAACACCAGGGGCGAAGGCGGUCUGCUGGACAGCAACUGACGGUGAGGCGCGAAAGCGUGGGGAGCAAACAGGAUUAGAUACCCGAGUAGUC